rnacentral:rRNA from 1 species
GUGAGGAAUUUUCCGCAAUGGGCGAAAGCCUGACGGAGCAAUGCCGCGUGAAGGAUGAAGGCCUAUGGGUUGUAAACUUCUUUUCUCAGAAAAGAAUUAUGACGGUAUCUGAGGAAUAAGCAUCGGCUAACUCUGUGCCAGCAGCCGCGGUAAGACAGAGGAUGCAAGCGUUAUCCGGAAUGAUUGGUCGUAAAGCGUCUGUAGGUUGUUUAAAAAGUAUUCUGUCAAAGAUUAGGGCUUAACCCUAGAUAGGCAGAAUAAACUUUUAAGCUAGAGUUUGGUAGAGGCAGAGGGAAUUCCCGGUGGAGCGGUGAAAUGCGUAGAUAGCGGGAGGAACACCAAAGGCGAAGGCACUCUGCUGGGCCAAUACUAACACUGAGAGACGAAAGCGAGGGGAGCAAAUGGGAUUAGAUACCCGAGUAGUCC